rnacentral:rRNA from 1 species
CACGUAGGGUGCGAGCGUUGUCCGGAAUUAUUGGGCGUAAAGAGCUCGUAGGCGGUGCGUCGCGUCGGCCGUGAAAACCUGCAGCUUAACUGUGGGCUUGCGGUCGAUACGGGCAUCACUGGAGUUCGGCAGGGGAGACUGGAAUUCCUGGUGUAGCGGUGAAAUGCGUAGAUAUCGAGAGGAACACCUGCGGCGAAGGCGGGUUGCUGGGCUGACACUGACGCUGGAGGCGCGAAAGCUAGGGGAGCGAACGGG